GCGCUGGUAGCUCAGUGGUUAGAGCGUCGGGCAAAUACUUACGCGUAUCUCACCUAUACGGCCUAUAUUCCAUAACUUAAAAUUAGACGUAAAGGUUGCGAGUCGCGUACGUAAGCAUUGAUCUUCCAUAGACAACUAUAGUCUAUGUUGGCAUUAUAUCUAGAAGUCUGAAGGUUGUGCGUUCGAUUCGCACCCAGCGCA